AUUGAACGCUGGCGGCAGGCCUAACACAUGCAAGUCGAACGGUAGCACAGAGAGCUUGCUCUCGGGUGACGAGUGGCGGACGGGUGAGUAAUGUCUGGGAAACUGCCCGAUGGAGGGGGAUAACUACUGGAAACGGUAGCUAAUACCGCAUAACGUCGCAAGACCAAAGUGGGGGACCUUCGGGCCUCACACCAUCGGAUGUGCCCAGAUGGGAUUAGCUAGUAGGUGGGAUAAUGGCUCACCUAGGCGACGAUCCCUAGCUGGUCUGAGAGGAUGACCAGCAACCCUGGAACUGAGACACGGUCCAGACUCCUACGGGAGGCAGCAGUGGGGAAUAUUGCACAAUGGGCGCAAGCCUGAUGCAGCCAUGCCGCGUGUAUGAAGAAGGCCUUCGGGUUGUAAAGUACUUUCAGCGGGGAGGAAGGCGGUGAAGUUAAUAGCUUCACCGAUUGACGUUACCCGCAGAAGAAGCACCGGCUAACUCCGUGCCAGCCGCCGCCGUAA
rnacentral:rRNA from 1 species